AUGCCGCGUGCAGGACGAAGGCCUUCGGGUUGUAAACUGCUUUUGUACGGAACGAAACGGUCUCUUCUAAUACAGGGGGCUAAUGACGGUACCGUAAGAAUAAGCACCGGCUAACUACGUGCCAGCAGCCGCGGUAAUACGUAGGGUGCGAGCGUUAAUCGGAAUUACUGGGCGUAAAGCGUGCGCAGGCGGUGAUGUAAGACAGAUGUGAAAUCCCCGGGCUCAACCUGGGACCUGCAUUUGUGACUGCAUCGCUAGAGUACGGUAGAGGGGGAUGGAAUUCCGCGUGUAGCAGUGAAAUGCGUAGAUAUGCGGAGGAACACCGAUGGCGAAGGCAAUCCCCUGGACCUGUACUGACGCUCAUGCACGAAAGCGUGGGGAGCAAACAGGAUUAGAUACCCUGGUAGUCCACGCCCUAAACGAUGUCAACUGGUUGUUGGGUCUUCACUGACUCAG
rnacentral:rRNA from 1 species